UGGCCAAUAUCAAAAAAAGAUAGAUAUGAUGCUAGAUAAAAUCAAUUUUUAUAAUAUUAUUAAAGACCAGCACUUUUCACCGUUACCACAGGAAUGUUAAACAUAAAGAAGAUCUCGUUGAUCCAACCAAUUUGCCAUAGACACCCACGUAAUCCACCCACGUAAUCUACCCAACAAUCUACCUUUAAAAGA